CUCGAGAAGAUGGCAAAAGUCUGUACAUGUUGGUGUCCAAAAUGUUACAUGAAGGGUUUCCCAAAGAGAUACAAAGCAAAGAAAUCAUGCCAGAAAAGGAAGAAAAGUGAGGUACACAUUCUUUGGCUGAAGAAGCUGCUUGAUACCAUGAAGUACCAAGUUACAUUUGUUCCCGUUGAUUCAAAGAACACUGGUUCCCGCUGCAAGCCCAAGACCACCAUAAUCAUCAUUGAGCUUGCUACUCCACCCCAGGGUCUCUAAAUAAAACCUCCUCUUUCUUGGAAAAA
rnacentral:lncRNA from 1 species